UUGUGGGUUGCUGGGUGGCCCGGUCUCGUAGAAGAGGGGAGAGUGGCGGGCCGCUGAAUAAGCUUCCAAAAUGAUGCCCACACCAGUUAUCCUAUUGAAAGAGGGGACUGAUAGCUCCCAAGGCAUCCCCCAGCUUGUGAGUAACAUCAGUGCCUGCCAGGUGAUUGCUGAGGCUGUAAGAACUACCCUGGGUCCCCGUGGCAUGGACAAGCUUAUUGUAGAUGGCAGAGGCAAAGCAACAAUUUCUAAUGAUGGGGCCACAAUUCUGAAACUUCUUGAUGUUGUCCAUCCUGCAGCAAAGACUUUGGUAGACAUUGCCAAAUCUCAAGAUGCUGAGGUGGGUGAUGGCACCACCUCAGUGACCUUGCUGGCUGCAGAGUUUCUGAAGCAGGUGAAACCCUAUGUGGAGGAAGGUUUACACCCCCAGAUCAUCAUUCGAGCUUUCCGCACAGCCACCCAGCUGGUAUGGCAGUACUGAUUAACCUUCUCUUGGGCCUGGACACCUUCACAUUUCUCUCAGGAAGGGG
rnacentral:sRNA from 1 species